AGGGCGUGUUUGGUUCGUUGUAUUGCAUCUGGCUCGCACCCACCAUGCAAAAUAUAGAUUGUUUGGUAUGCUGUAUGUGUAGUUGGACCUGGCCCGACAGAUGCAAAAAUCGCCUCCGGGCCAGGCUGCGGGGAAACGCAAGUUCGGGCCGUUUCCACGAGCCUGCACCCGCGCGUGCAGCGACCCGCGCGUGCAUCGCUCUCGCCUGGAGGAUAGGGUUCCCUCCCGACGCGCCGCUCUCGUCCGCUCUCGUCCUCGCGCN
rnacentral:lncRNA from 1 species